UUAUAAUUUUUAAUUUAAUACAUCAUGGGUAUCUUAACAGAGCAGUACAUGUUGACCCAUUUCAUUUUUUUUUAAACGGACCUCAGUUUUCCUCUAUUGAUGUAUUUUAUGCUGCUUUUAAUUUUUCCUUCUUCCAGACAAUACUGUGGAGAAUACCCUUGUACUUUUUGCUUGAUUGGGUUACUGUAUCUGUAAGGCAGAUUUCUAGAAGUGAAGUUACUUAUUAGAUGCUGCCAAAUUACUCCCUAAAUCUAUUUGACAAACUUUAAAAAUUGAGUAAACUUUAUUGUAUGUGUCUAUUACUACAAGAUAUUUAAAAUUUUGUUUAAAAAAAAUCAUAAAAGUUAAUUCUAAUAAAAGAUUAAAUCUGUGCUUUCAUUAAUAUGGGAAAUAUAAAGAUAGCAGAGGCUGGAGAGUGUAUCUCACAGUGGAGCACUUGAUUAGCAUAUGUGACAGCUUGUGUUUUAUCCCUAGCACUACACACACAAAAAAGCAAAAAUCAUAACAUAUCUUAAAUAACUACCAUGUGGUUUUGGAAAUCAAUUGUAUGUUUAUUUAUAUACAUUUUAAAAUAUUAAAAAUUAUCACUUAAGUAGACCUUGAGUUGGCCCUAAAGGAAAGCAUUACAUCUAGGUUAGUGGAGAAGACCAAGAAAGGGGAUUACAAAUACAAAUGGCAUAGACUGAAGUAGAGGUAAAAUUUCACCAUGUCAUGUGAAAUUAGUGAAAUAACUGCCCUGGAUUCAAGUAAUGUUUAUUAUAUUCAACAAUAAAGUAAGGGGGGAAGUUCAUGGAUGACUUAGGACACAAACAGUUUAGGUUUGAUCUACUCGACAGCAGAGGGCCUUCUCAACUAGUAAUCUCUUGCCAUGUAACAAAUCGCCCCCAUGAUUAGUAAUUUAAAAUAACAGUAAACAUUGAUUAUUUCUAAUAGUUUCUUUGGACCAGAGAUUUGAGAGGUUAACAGGGUAUUUCAGGUUUUUAGGGUCUUUUCUGGUAUUGAAGUCAAAAUGUUGGCCAGGCUACCAUCUCUGAGGGCUGGGGGUUGGUAACAAGUUGGUCCUGCUUGGCCUCAGCUCCUUUUUAUGUGAGACUGUCCAUAGGGCCUACUGUCCUACGACCCGGCAGUCUUGCUUCUCAGAUUGUGUAUUCCAGGGAAACCAAGCAAAGCAUCAGUGCCAUUUUUGACCUAGCUUUGGAAACCACACAACUACCUACCACUCUUGCCACAUUCUGUUCCUUAGUUGCAAGCCAUAAAUUCAGCCCAUAUUCCCGAGGGAGGAGCUAGGCUUCACCUUUUAAAGAGAAGUGUGUCAAAGAAUAUGGAAAAAGGUUUUGAAACCACUGUACUUCUGUCUUAUAUUCUAAAGAAGGGGAGUGAUGUUAGAAUUUGGAAAAGGAAAAAGAACUAUGUUAUCUAGAGGAAGAUUAAUCCGGUAGCAAUGUCAAAGAUGAAUUGAAUUCUCUUAUUUUGUUACGAUUUUUUUUGUAAAAUAAAGAAUUGAGAUAUAAGAGGUAGAUUCAUUGAACAGUCAAGUGAUGAUGAAUUUAGUUGAGACCAGUAAGAAAAUAGGACACAUGGUAGAGAAGAUACAGCAGAAUGACAAGAAAGAAGAAGAGGAUAAAAGUGAUCAGCAGAUUGAUCAGGCAGGCAUGUCACAGUUGGAAAGAUAAAUCAGUUUUGAUGGGAGAAAGGGUACUUACUUGGUUUUAGACAUUUCAGGAGAAAUUUGUAAGGUGUUGGGAAUGUACAACUAGAGCUCAGGUUGCAGUGUCUAACCAAAGAGGCACUGUCUUGCCAUCCCAGCAGUGAUGGUUAAGUUUUUCCAGAGCUGAGAAUGUAGAGAAAACAGAGCACUAAGGACUAGGCCUUUAGGGUAGGGUAAACUGUGGUUUGGAGUAUGGUUAGGGAGGGAGCCAGAUCUGUAGUAUCAGAGAGAAGGAAGAACCAGCUGUGUUCUUGGCAGGAAUGGGAAAUGUGGAGUGAUCAAGAGCUUGAUAUGGUGCAGAAUUUGAAGAGAAUAAUAUUUGAAAUAAAUUCAUUUGCCCGCACGAUUAUUAUAGGUGACAAUAGUUUAAGUGGAGUAGAACAAUUUUGGAAAUUGGAUUAUAACAUUUAAUUUGAUGAUUAACUUUUUAGAAAGUGUUUGAGGUGGGAGGAUGAGUGGCUGGCUUGCAAUUCAUCUCUUAGAUUUUGAGGUCUCACAUCUUCUUGCCUCCUUUCAGCACUACAGAGCAUCCCAGGAAUGGCACUUCUGCUCAGUUCUUGGAUUGAGGGGAAUGCAGAAGGAUUUUACCUCACUUGUUUUCAGGAAAUCUUUUUAUUGAGUUACUUUUUGGGGUUAGAAGAAUUGGGAUGUUUUGCCAUUUGGGCGUUUCUCUGCCUCACAGAACAAUCUCAGAGCUACCUGUUUUAGGGAAAUGAUUACAAUAACCUGGAAGCUGAGAUGCUGGAAAGCCUUGACACUGCUGGUCAUGUGAAUGUGGAUGUCAUCUGUCUUGUGUAUUGGAGCAGAAAGAAGGAGAAAAAUGGAAAAAACAGAGGUACUUUUAAUGGAACCAAGUAAAACACUGAACAGCAUAGCAUCUCUUUGGAGUGGCACCAAUUUCUGCAUCUUUUUGCCUCUCUGUUCAGAGACUUGAGCCUUUCCAUCUGGUUGAUGCCGUAGACCCCACAGUUCCCUGGUCUUCAGCCUGAAAUGGAUCUCAUGCUGUGCUAGUGCUGCUUUUCUGAACAAAUGCCUCCUGAGGAUUUGUGCACCUGGGAAAUACCUGCCAACGGAUUGCCUUUACACCCUGUAUGAGGAGACUGAGGUACAGAAAGAUAACAUUUACCCAAGGUUGUUCGGGGAGCUCUGGCUCCAGAAGUCUGCAUUUCCCUUCUCUCACCACACUACCUCAUAGAAAAGGGAAACUUAGGAGGAUAAACAGCCAGGUAGGUCGUAGAGACAGUACUUGAGCACCUUGCAUGAUCUGUGGGAAUAGUCACAGUGCUGUUUGGCCUUGAGCUUCAUUAAGGUUAGCAGAGAAACAAGGCUGUAGGGAAGAUGGGAUUUGGUUAAGAUCACAGUGCAAGUAAGAAGUAUAGCUGAGUGUCCAGGGCUUCUGAUCAUUCAAUGUGAGCCAAAUUUCACUGAUUUCUAAGUUUUCUCCUCUUCUUGGUGUUUCUUUGGGUUCUGCUAAUCAGCACUAGUACUGAUGUUAGUGGUUUGCUUAGAUGCAUAUUGGCACAGUUGGUGCCGACUGUGGCCAUGUGAAGAUGAGCUGUUAGUUUUCAUAAGGCACCAGGCAGCAGAGAGCGAUGGCUAUGAGCCUGGGCUCUGUCAGGAUCAGGCAGACCAGGGUCUGAGCUGCAGUCUUGCCACUUAAAAGCUGUAGGAUCAAGAGCAUGUCAUUUGCCCUCUCUCCCUCAUCUCUCAUCUGGAUGCACCAACCAUGUUAGGUGGUAGUGAAUGUAAAGAAAGUGUACUUAAAGCACAUAGCAUAGUAUUUUUUCACAGAACAAGGAUUCCAAAGAUGGAAGUUAUGAUUAUUUUUCAGAGUGCCCUCUGCAUCCACUUACUUACUGGCCUUCACCCUGAGAAUACACUCCACAGAAUUCCAGCCCACCCAAUAAAACCUUAGAUACUUGUGAAUGCUUUAAAAAUCACUGAUUAUUUCAUAUACUGCAUUAUGCACAACUCUACCAACCACUGUGUUACAGGAUUUUGUACCUCUAUUCCCAACAUCAAGACCCAAAGGAUCAGAGAAAUUAAAUGAUUAGCCCAGGAUUACAGAGCAGUAAGCAGCACAGCCAGAUCCUGUGCUGCCUGUUCGUCUUCCUGUUUGCUGAAGGCAUCCAGGUAGGCAGAUCAGACAUUUAUGGUUGUGUGGUCCAUCACCAUAGCAAUGGCAGUUGUGCCUUAGGCUGGCCUGAACACUCAAAUUAGGACAGUUGUGUUCUAAUGUCCCUCACAUUUUGAAGCUGUGUUUUUAAAGAGAUGUCGGAGGUAGACAUAGCUCUCUUUGUGAAAUCCCAAACCCUGAGGGAAAUUACCUUAAUCCAGUUUGCUCUCAAAAAAAUGGGCAGGCCUCUCAUAAUCAAGGGAGACGACACAAGUCCACUGUUGGGCUUUGGCACACAGGAGUCCUUCUGUGAGUUAGUGACUCACAUCCCAGCCUCAAUCCCACUGUCAGAUCUGGAAGAAAAACGUAAUAAGAAGGGCAGCUGCCUGAAAAACAGAGGCAGUAUGGACUGUGUUUUGAAAUGGAGACACAUUCUCUUGGCCUGUGGGCCAAGAGACAGGAGGAUUCUGUUCUUGGAAGAUGACUAAUGCUGGGGAGGAGAGUCUGCAAUUUUAAAUGAUGUUCUAUGUGAGAAAGAGUUUUAAUGUUGCAAUACCUUAAAGUUGUUGCUGGUUAAAAAUAGGAACAUCCUGAGUUACAGAAAUUCAGGCUUACUGUAUCCUGGCCUAAAAGUUGAUUGUUGGAAAUGAGGGAUAAGGUCCCAGCAGGGUUGUCCUUUCAAUGAUGAGACUCAGCAAGUAAUUCCACACCUCUUGCUGUCACUCUGUUCUCCUGUAUGUGUCCUGGAAAGAGAAUGGAUGAGUUCCUAUUAAUUUAUCAAUUAGUGUUUCCAUUUUCCUUCCAGAGAACAACAUAGAGAUUUUUCUUUAACUUGGUAUUAACUUGGUAGCCAGCCUCCCCCUGCAGACCUGUUUUUAGGAAACAGGGCCCCACACUCGAGAUCUCUGUCUUAAUGUGUUUAAGUAACUUUACAGCCACUUAACUGAGCAUCCCAGGUCAUCCCCAAGUACUUGAAACGUACUGUGGAAAAGAAUACUAAAUGAUGUUUGCAUUAAGGCUUUGCUGAAAAUGCAUUGUCAUACUGGACUAAUAUAAAGAGAUGUAGACACAAAAGAAUAUAGUUGCUGUUAUUCUGCUGAAUUUUGAGAGGCAUACAGGAUGAUCGGAAUAUACUGUAGAUGUUUAAAUUUUUUAUUACAGUAAAAGACACAUUGCCAUUAAUCCCCUUCAAAAUUUGUUCUCUUACUUCCAAUACACUUAUCCCGUUAUUCUUGCCACUUCCUGAAGCAGUUCUGGAAGUCUCUGUCAUGUGUGUUUUUAUGAGGUAUGAUGAAAAAUACGGUCAAUGCUGCUGCCAAGUGCAGUUAAGGCAGGCUCAUAAAAACAUUACAGUGUGGGCUGGGGAUUUGGCUCAGUGGUUCUUCCACCUGCCUGGCAAGUGAAAGGUCCUGAGUUCAAUCCCCAGUACCAAUAAAUAAAUAGAUAGAUAGAU